UACGGGGGGGGCAAGCGUUGUUCGGAAUUACUGGGCGUAAAGGGCUUGUAGGUGGCCAACUAAGUCAGACGUGAAAUCCCUCGGCUUAACCGGGGAACUGCGUCUGAUACUGGAUGGCUGGAGUGUGGGAGAGGGAUGCGGAAUUCCAGGUGUAGCGGUGAAAUGCGUAGAUAUCGGGAGGAAUACCAGUGGCGAAGGCGGCUGCCUGGCCUGUUCUUGACGCUGAGGCGCGAAAGCUGGGGGAGCAAACGGG
rnacentral:rRNA from 1 species